GAUGAACGCUGGCGGCGUGCCUAAUACAUGCAAGUCGAGCGAACAGACGAGGAGCUUGCUCCUCUGACGUUAGCGGCGGACGGGUGAGUAACACGUGGAUAACCUACCUAUAAGACUGGGAUAACUUCGGGAAACCGGAGCUAAUACCGGAUAAUAUAUUGAACCGCAUGGUUCAAUAGUGAAAGACGGUUUUGCUGUCACUUAUAGAUGGAUCCGCGCCGCAUUAGCUAGUUGGUAAGGUAACGGCUUACCAAGGCGACGAUGCGUAGCCGACCUGAGAGGGGAAUCGGCCACCCUGGAACUGAGACACGGUCCAGACUCCUACGGGAGGCAGCAGUAGGGAAUCUUCCGCAAUGCGCGAAAGCCUGACGGAGCAACGCCGCGUGAGUGAUGAAGGUCUUCGGAUCGUAAAACUCUGUUAUUAGGGAAGAACAAAUGUGUAAGUAACUAUGCACGUCUUGACGGUACCUAAUCAGAAAGCCACGGCUAACUACGUG
rnacentral:rRNA from 1 species